rnacentral:lncRNA from 1 species
AUGAGCAAGACCUGCAGCUCAGCUGCUCGAGCUGUGCCGGGGAGGAAGGCCCUGGUGUCCCCUGUGUCACCUCUUGGUGUCCCCUGUGUCACCUGCAGACACACACACGAGUCCAGCUGGUGCUUCCAGCCCCAUCCCAGCCCUGCCGUGCUGGGGAGGCAGGCUGGGAGCUCUGGGAGUGCCUGGGACAGUGUCUGGGACACGAGGAGGGGAGGAAGGAAGGAGGCUGUCAGAGAAGUUGCACAAAGAGGAGGAGGAGGAGGAGGCUGCCCUGGUCCGUGCCCGCCUGCCCAGCAGCGUUGCAGUGCCCGAGGCUCCCUUGGGCUGGGGAUGAGCUGCUUUGGGCCUCAGUGGGAGCUCCUCUGUCCUCUGGGGGUGGGACAGGGUCACAGGGUGCAGGCUGUGACACCCCCAAAGAAUGGGGGGGUUCAGUGCUGCUUUCCAGGGCUCCUGGCACUGCUUUGGCAGCAAUCCCUCCCUGCUUGCCCACGGGGAGUGCCAGCGCUGCCAGGAGCCCCUGCUGGCACCUGGAUUGGGCUGUGUCCAGCCCCGGAUGGGCUCUACAGCAGCAAUGGGCUCUACAGCAGCAAUGGGCUCUACAGCAGCAAUGGGCUCUGCCCUGGCUGCACGAGGGAGCUGCAGCCUGGGAAACCACGCAGGAACACCACAGCCCACCCUGCCCAGGAGCUCCCUGCUGCUGGCCAGGUCCCUGCUGCAAGCCAGGGCCAGGAGAAGGAGGCUGCUGAGGUGGGAGAGGAGCUGGAGGUGCCUCUGCCCUGGUGUCAGUCGCUGUGUGGAGCAGGGGGCACUGUGGGUGUUGCUGAGCCUGGAGUGAGGUGCUGGCUCCAGGUUAACGCUGCUUUGAGCCACAGCUGCCUGAGCCCCUCUGCCUUUGCCCUGGCUCCUUCCCCAGCCCUGCAGUGGGGCCUGCCUGUGCAUCUGGGGGGCUGCACAAGUGCCUCGAGCCCCUGCACGCGCUUCCGUCCCCACCCUGGCUGGGGCACAGCCCCUUGGAGCCAGGUGUGA